rnacentral:rRNA from 1 species
UACGGAGGGUGCAAGCGUUAUCCGGAUUCACUGGGUUUAAAGGGAGCGCAGGCGGAUUGGUAAGUCAGUGGUGAAAUACCUGAGCUUAACUUGGGAACUGCCGUUGAUACUAUAGAUCUUGAAUAUCGUGGAGGUAAGCGGAAUAUGUCAUGUAGCGGUGAAAUGCUUAGAUAUGACAUAGAACACCAAUUGCGAAGGCAGCUUACUACACGAUCAUUGACACUGAGGCACGAAAGCGUGGGGAGCAAACAGG